GAUCUGGCUCAGGAUGAACGCUGGCGGCGUGCUUAACACAUGCAAGUCGAGCGAAGCAGUUAAGAAGAUUCUUCGGAUGAUUCUUGACUGACUGAGCGGCGGACGGGUGAGUAACGCGUGGGUGACCUGCCCCAUACCGGGGGAUAACAGCUGGAAACGGCUGCUAAUACCGCAUAAGCGCACAGAGCUGCAUGGCUCCGUGUGAAAAACUCCGGUGGUAUGGGAUGGG
rnacentral:rRNA from 1 species